UACAGAGGGUGCAAACGUUGCUCGGAAUUAUUGGGCGUAAAGCGCGUGUAGGCGGCUUGUUAAGUCGGUUGUGAAAACCCAUGGCUCAACCAUGGAAGGGCGUCCGAAACUGGCAAGCUAGAGUCCCGACGAGGAUGGCGGAAUUCCCAGUGUAGAGGUGAAAUUCGUAGAUAUUGGGAGGAACACCUGCGGCGAAGGCGGCUACCUGGACAGAAACUGACGCUGAGGCGCGAAAGCUAGGGGAGCAAACAGG
rnacentral:rRNA from 1 species